rnacentral:rRNA from 1 species
AUGCCGCCCUCUCUCCUUUUCCUCCCGCCCCGCCUCUCUCUCUCCCUCCAAACCCUAACCCGCGCCCACCUCCCUACCCCAUCGUCGUCCAGAUCCAACCCCACGCUGCCGUCAUCUCCUUCGCCCAGUCGGCUGCCGCCGCACCGCACGAGGUGGGAUGCCAUGCCCCAGCCGUCUCCUCGGUCUGCUUCACCGUCGAGCUCGCUCGUCAUGUCGUCGGGAGGGAAGGAAGAUGGUGUUGCUCUUCUCGAGGUGCACCGCCGUGAUGUCAACGGGAGGAGGCCAAGCGAAGCGGGACAUCCACUCAUCCACAUCCCAUCCUCUCUUCCUCACCCCAUCCUAUCUCCCUCCCAGAUCCACCACGCAGCUCUGUAG